rnacentral:rRNA from 1 species
GACGAACGCUGGCGGCGUGCUUAACACAUGCAAGUCGAACGGAAAGGCCCUGCUUUUGUGGGGUGCUCGAGUGGCGAACGGGUGAGUAACACGUGAGUAACCUGCCCUUGACUUUGGGAUAACUUCAGGAAACUGGGGCUAAUACCGGAUAGGAGCUCCUGCUGCAUGGUGGGGGUUGGAAAGUUUCGGCGGUUGGGGAUGGACUCGCGGCUUAUCAGCUUGUUGGUGGGGUAGUGGCUUACCAAGGCUUUGACGGGUAGCCGGCCUGAGAGGGUGACCGGCCACAUUGGGACUGAGAUACGGCCCAGACUCCUACGGGAGACAGCAGUGGGGAAUAUUGCACAAUGGGCGGAAGCCUGAUGCAGCAACGCCGCGUGCGGGAUAACGGCCUUCGGUUUGUAAACCGCUUUCGCCUGUGACGAAGCGUGAGUGACGGUAAUGGGUAAAGAAGCACCGGCUAACUACGUG